CCCAACUCCAACCCUAUUCCCCUUAUCUCUCCUGCGCCGCGCCCCCUCCCAUCUCACUAUCUCUCUCUCAGAUUUCAGCUAUCUCUUUCAGAUUUCCCGCAAAGCAACGGCGAUAGCAGCAGAGUCGCCGCCGCCGCUCGUCCUUCCCGGCAAAGCAACGGCGAUAAGCCGCUGACACGCCCGGCUCUCCCUUCUCUCUCUCGGCGGCAUCACCGCCUCAUCUCCUUUACCCCUCUGACUUAGAUCGGCGACGGUGAGAGCCUCCGCCGUCUGAGCCCUAGCCCCAAUCACGGCUCCCACAGAAUCCGCCGCCGCCAGCCACGCCGCCUCCUCCUCCUGACUCCUACCGACGACACUAGCGCCGCCGUCCUCACUCUCCUCUCCCCCAGAUCUGACAAAAUCUCUCUCUCUCUUUCCAACAAACUUCGGCGGACGACAGCAGCCCUCCUCCGGCUGCCGCCACCGCUCGUUCUCCCCUUCAAAUCUUCAACCGACAGCAGCAGAGUCGCGGCCGCCACCGUCCGUCUGCCUUGACGGUGGUGGAGGAAUUUUUGGUGGUUUGGAGGCGGAGUGAGGAAGGUUUGGAGUUGGUGGAUGGGAGAGGCGCCGCGCGUCGGGCAGAUCUCGCUCCCAUGGAUUCAAAUUGUCAUCGUGAACACCAUCCGAAAGUUCAAUUCCCCUCGAGAGAAACGCUGCAAAUUGAUCUGCGUGAGGUAGAGAAUGUCAGGGAAAGGAGAAAAUGGGUUGUUGACGGGGAAAACUCCGGCUUCGAAAGACAAGGAUAAGGACAAGAAGAAACCCAUCACUCGCUCUUCCCGCGCCGGGCUUUAGAAAGACAAUAUAAGGAAUCAACGUGAGCAUGUUGUGCUUACUUUAGCCAACUCACAGUCGCGACUGGGCAUCCAAUAGAAACUGAUCUAGUUACUGCCUCAAUUAAGUUUGCUUGUCAGUUAUGUUUCAAUGUAAUAUAGGAUGAUGAGCAAUGUUUCAAUGUAAUAUAGGAUGAUGAACAAUGUUUCAAUAGGAUGAUGUUUGAGUUUAAUGUAUGAAUUCUAUUAUUAAUUUA